UGGGACCAGAAGGGUGAGGAAGGAGAGGAGUUGAGAUCUUCAACUCUGAGGGUCAUCUUCAAAAUCAAAAAGCUGACAACUUAAACCUAAACUUCAACUUUAGAAGCUAGUGAAUCUUCUCUCAGAGAAAAGAAAGGAAAGAAUUUGCUAUUUUUCACCAAAGCACUCAGAUUAAGUUAUUUAUCAGCUUCUUAUUCAGUGAAACUAUGCUCUGGAAUGUGAGGUAGGGGCUAAAGCAGAAGACUGAGUCAGGACAGCUGGAUUCAAUUCUUGAAUCAAGUUACUGACAGAACCAAGAUUUUAACCUCUGUGGUCCUCCGUUAGCCAUAAUUAAAAUGGAUAUUAUAAUAUUUAUCUAUAUCAUAGAAAGGCUGUGAGGCUUAAUAGCUGCAUUAGACAAGAGAAGAAAUUAAAGGGGCCCCAAAAGGGCAAGAUAUUCCUGAGCGUUAUUCUAAAUUGUAGUAGAGCUGUUAAACACUGAGCUGUCAGGGGUAGACAGCGUUACAAGUGUGACAUUCUAAACUAUUCAUUCAGUGUGUGAUUUUUUUCUCUUGAUGCCUUUUUGUCUUUGGAUCCAGUUCUUGUGCAGUGGUGAUACAUGGAACACCUUGAAAAGAGAAAACAGUUUUGUAUGGAUACACUGAAGCUAUCCCGGCCCUCAGACCUACAGCAGGCCUUACUCUUACCUAUGAAGGGAAGUAGGAGAGGCAACAGUUGGGAACUCAAGGAACCACAGAAGCGGAAUACAAGUGCAGUUGCCCUGAACCUGUGACACUAGGAGUAUAUGCAAACUAUAAGGUUGGAGCCAAUCCUGCAAACCUCCAUGUGUGGAAGAGUAUGUACAAUUCCUUUUUGUUUUUGCAUAAGGUUUUUCCUAUGGUUCUUGUCCCUGUAAUACCAGAACACCUCACAUACACUAAGGAUUUUAUUCUAAAACCUCAGAUGGACGGAAAUAUUCUCAUUUUACAGACAGAACACACAGGUGCAGAGAAAGUGACUUGCCUCAGUCAGCCAGGAAGUCUGUGACUGAGACAUCUCUUGAGUUCCCCCCCCUUUUUUUUAU